GUGAGUCAUCGAAUCUUUGAACGCACCUUGCACUCCUUGGUAUUCCGAGGAGUAUGCCUGUUUGAGUGUCAUGAAAUCAUCAACCUCAUAGUUAAUUACUUGUGAGGCUUGGAUUUGGAAGCUGCUGGCUCUAAUGUCGGCUCUUCUUAAAUGUAUUAGCUGCUUGUCCGUGAGUUGGCUCAGAGUGUGAUAAGUAUCUACACUUGGUGGCUGCUCGCAUUGGAUGUGGCUUCUAAUCGUCUUAGGACAACUUCUUAAGAUCUGACCUCAAAUCAGGUAGGACUACCCGCUGAACUUAAGCAUAUCAAUAAGCGGAGG
rnacentral:rRNA from 1 species